ensembl:lncRNA
GCGCUGGGGACGGCUCCGCCCAGUUCUGCAGCCAGGGGUCCGGCGUUCCGGCCAGACCAGUGGUCCGAACGUGAGAAGACUUAGGGCUCCGCCGCUCUCUCGGGCUGUUCCCCGAAGUGGUUCUGGGAGCCUAGAGGCAUAGGGGCUUAAGGAAGGAAGGGCCAGGGCCAGGGAGGGCGGGAGCGAGAAGGAGGAGAGGGCAGGUCAGCGGAACUGGGAUGGGGCGCAGCCCAGCGGCGGGCACGGCCGGAGGAGAGAGAGGGCGCUGUCUUCCUGGCAAAGGAUCCCUGGCUUGGCCGGCAGGAACCGAAACAAAAAAAAAAAAGAAGAAGAAGAAGAAGAAAGAAAGCACAGGAAAGGAAAUCUGCCUGGUCGACCCGGGGCGGGGGAGGGUGGGGGGUGAGGGACGCACUGUGGGGAGGGCCAAGGGUGGCCGAGCGGAUUCUCAGCCCACAGCCCAGCAACCGCUUCUUCUGCUGCUGCCUUGCUAGCGCCGCGUGGCCCCGAGCGAGACUCUUCUUUGGCCCUAAAGGGCCCCCCACAGUUGGCUUCCCUCCCUCGCUUUCUCCUCUGGAAAACUGGAGGCGUCGGUAUAAGGUCUGCGACGCUUCACUGGCGAUUGAGGUGCCGCGACGUGGCCAAGGAGCCCGCGGAAGAAAACCGCAACGCCAACCAGGCCUUCACGUCGAAGCGCCGCAGCAAAUGGCCUCACCUGGUUUGGCUGCGUCUUGCCGAGGAACAAGGAGGAGAUGGAAGGCCCUCUUUCUUUCAUCGACUGACCUGGGCGCACACUCUGGAAACCAAAGGGUCCCAAGGACAAUUACUGUCAGACAUUCCCCACUCAAACCCAGGAAACUUAAUUUACACUACUUCAGGAGAAAUUCCUGUAUCAUCUACAAAGGAUGUGUUGUCUUUCCAUGCGCAUAACAAACCAGUUGAAGCAAAACAAAGGAUCUCAAACUUACGUAUCUUCAGUCUUGAAAGGUCCCUCUGUGUUAAUGGAUGUAAUUAAAGGCCUUCUAGGUUUGCUGAUAGAUACUAGAACCGAUCAUCUCACAUGUCCGCCAUCGGAGAGUCCCAAGCUCCAGUCUCCACGUGAAUUUCCGGACUCUUCCAUAGCCCUUCCGGUAGAAUCCAGGUGGCCCCAUAGUUCUGCCUUUAGCAGGAGAGCUAUUUCCUAGGAGUAACUGGGUGGGCUGCAAUCCGCCUGCCUCUUCACGUUGAGAAACGCUUCUCUUGUGGGAACGUCUGUUUCUAUUCAUCCGAUUUUCUAAUGUCUUUGAUCAGCCUAAAUAUUUUCUUGGCAAACGGAAAUUGACCAUGCCAUGAAUAUGAUAACAACCUGCUUGGAAAGAAGCUAUUUUGUUUCGAAGCAGCAAGGGGGAGUGGGGGGCCGGGAAGCCAGGGAAGGGAGUAGGGGUCGGGUAACUAGCUGGCUGGUAAGAAUGCCUGAAAUAGAUUCCUGAACAUACAUCUUUUUGCAGUCUCUGAAGCAGCUUUUUGAAAGAUAGUCAGAUAAACACACACCUGGGCUCCUAAAAGUCUUUGAUACACUUUAUAUUUAAAAACAGAACUUCAAUGGACGCCUCUGGAGAAUUUCCUUUAAAACAUAGAUGAAAGGCAAGGUUAAUACAAUGUUCUCUUAAUCCCUUUGGCUUGUGAGUCAAAAUAAAUAUGUUCUUCUGCAUGUGAUUGUACAUCCUGCCAUUUGGCUGUGGCUAUAAGCAAAUCGACCGGUAAUAAAAGUGUUUUGAGGCUGUGUAUUAAAUGCAGUUCUCUUGAAAUCAAGGGUUGGGGGAGGAGGGCCUUACUUCACAGGCAAGAGUUGGUGGGUUUUGAAAAAGCUGCAAGAAAAGGCCUUCACGUCGAAGCGCCGCAGCAAAUGGCCUCACCUGGUUUGGCUGCGUCUUGCCGAGGAACAAGGAGGAGAUGGAAGGCCCUCUUUCUUUCAUCGACUGACCUGGGCGCACACUCUGGAAACCAAAGGGUCCCAAGGACAAUUACUGUCAGACAUUCCCCCACUCAAACCCAGGAAACUUAAUUUACACUACUUCAGGAGAAAUUCCUGUAUCAUCUACAAAGGAUGUGUUGUCUUUCCAUGCGCAUAACAAACCAGUUGAAGCAAAACAAAGGAUCUCAAACUUACGUAUCUUCAGUCUUGAAAGGUCCCUCUGUGUUAAUGGAUGUAAUUAAAGGCCUUCUAGGUUUGCUGAUAGAUACUAGAACCGAUCAUCUCACAUGUCCGCCAUCGGAGAGUCCCAAGCUCCAGUCUCCACGUGAAUUUCCGGACUCUUCCAUAGCCCUUCCGGUAGAAUCCAGGUGGCCCCAUAGUUCUGCCUUUAGCAGGAGAGCUAUUUCCUAGGAGUAACUGGGUGGGCUGCAAUCCGCCUGCCUCUUCACGUUGAGAAACGCUUCUCUUGUGGGAACGUCUGUUUCUAUUCAUCCGAUUUUCUAAUGUCUUUGAUCAGCCUAAAUAUUUUCUUGGCAAACGGAAAUUGACCAUGCCAUGAAUAUGAUAACAACCUGCUUGGAAAGAAGCUAUUUUGUUUCGAAGCAGCAAGGGGGAGUGGGGGGCCGGGAAGCCAGGGAAGGGAGUAGGGGUCGGGUAACUAGCUGGCUGGUAAGAAUGCCUGAAAUAGAUUCCUGAACAUACAUCUUUUUGCAGUCUCUGAAGCAGCUUUUUGAAAGAUAGUCAGAUAAACACACACCUGGGCUCCUAAAAGUCUUUGAUACACUUUAUAUUUAAAAAAACAGAACUUCAAUGGACGCCUCUGGAGAAUUUCCCUUUAAAACAUAGAUGAAAGGCAAGGUUAAUACAAUGUUCUCUUAAUCCCUUUGGCUUGUGAGUCAAAAUAAAUAUGUUCUUCUGCAUGUGAUUGUACAUCCUGCCAUUUGGCUGUGGCUAUAAGCAAAUCGACCGGUAAUAAAAGUGUUUUGAGGCUGUGUAUUAAAUGCAGUUCUCUUGAAAUCAAGGGUUGGGGGGAGGGAGGGGCCUUACUUCACAGGCAAGAGUUGGUGGGUUUUUGAAAAAGCUGCAAGAAAAAGACCUUUCACCUCUCAUUAGUGAUGCCAUCAGUGCUCAGGCAGAGUGGAGCUGAGGUCAUGUUACAUAUGGCACACAGUCUGCUCAGCACUUGAAACGUCAGCUUUGAAAUUUUAGAGAGGGGAAAGGUCAUCUUUAAUAAGCUAAAGUCUGGGGCUCCCAUUGCCCUCUUUGCAAACUGGGUGGGUGUCCAUAUGCUUCAAACCUUCUGCACAAGUUUUCUUUUUUUUAAUUUGCAGUUUUAAGCUGAUUUUUUGUUUCACAUCUUCAUUUAAGCUGUAAUGUUUUCAGCUGUUAAUACACCAAAAGGCCUUUCAUUUUUAUAGCAACUCUGUCAUCUUUCCUUUUCUUCUUAUGCAAUCAUAAAACUGUCUGUUCUGAGUGAUAGCUUUUUAGAACUCAGCUUCCCAGAAGAAAUGAAGUGUAUCUGUCCAUCUGCAUACAUGGAUCCAGACAUGUGGGCUAUAGGGUUACCCUUCUGAGUGGGUAAUUUAGACUUCACUUUUGUACACUACAUAAUUUACUGAACCUUCAAAACAUUAAAACUUCCAUAUUAUGUAAAAGCUCUAGUUUCUGAAAACUUCCUGGUACUACUAAAAUUUUUCAUGCCAUUUACUGAAAUUUCACAUUUUAUUUUUACCAUGUGGGGGAAACUCUCAAAUCAGAAGAUAUUGAUUCUUCUGUAAGGUUUAAAGUUAAGGUUGACAGAAGCUACAGUGGUAGAUAUAGCACUGAAAAAAAGAAGUGCUAAUAUCUCACUUCCUUGUUCAAAAAAUAUUAGGAACAUUUGUGAAUGUUUAAUCCUCAUAUUUUUUCAAGAAGUGAAGUCAACCAAACCCAAGGCACGAAACUAUCCCCAGAUCUCUUUGUAGCCACUGUCAAUAUGGAUAUAAAUAUUUUUCUUUCAUGUCCCUCUGCAAGGAACUCCUCAAUAGUGAUUUGUCAUUUACUCAAUUCCAGAAACUUUUUUUCCUUAUGGACCUACUAAUCAAGAAGAGCAGCCUCAGCACACUUUUGUGUAUUCCUCAUUUCUCUUUAUGUCUGCCAACCCAUGUUGUCUAUUUAUAUAACCCCAAUUUUGGUUGUUGCUUUUUUUUUAGCUUUUUUCUUCUACAUCAAAGUUACGUAUUUUGUCAUUAUAAGAUAAACUUUAUUAAAUAAGACAACUGUGUAUGUUCAGCUUCAACUAGCAGACUGAUCUCUUAAAAUUCCUUCUCCUACUUUGCAAAUUGAAAACAUUGAAACAUCCUCUUGAGUAAACUAGGGGUUCCUUAUUACUGAGAGAUUUAAUGAUUAUGAUAUGCAGAUAGGUGUUACUUUUGCUUUGUCUCUAGUUAGAUUUUUCAAAAAUCCUUAAUUCUGGAUGAGCGAAAAUUUGAAAGAGCAGUCUGUAUGAUAGCAAUUGAAACUAAGAGUGGGUAGAAUAAUUUCACAACCAAGCAUGACAUCAAGUAAAUAAUUUGAUUCUAAUUAGUUUCCUACAUUAGCGUUUACUACUAAAAAGCUAGUUGACUUUGUGAUACUUUAGCUAACCCAAAGCGCUUGAGACUUUGAGGACCCAAAUGAUUAAGUUCAAUCAAUCUAGUGAAUAGAAAGUCAAGAUUACGAUGCACACUGUGGUCUCAGGGAGUGCAUAUGUGUUCGAGAGAGAGGUACUGUUGCUUUUUUUAUUUUUGACUAAAUUUUAAAAUUCCCAAAAAUACUCCAGGAAAAUUUAAGAGCAGAUUGUUUUACUCUGAAAAACAAGGAGUGAAAUAUUUCAAGAAGCAGAUUCAUCAUCGACAGGUCAAUAAUUCAUUAAAGGCCCAUAAAAAGAAUGCUAAUAAUUUACACAUUUUAUAGGAUCCUUCACUCAGGAGCCUUUAACAUUUUACAAGCCUGAUCUCAUUCAUCUUCUCAGAACUUUCUCAACUUCUCAGUAUUAUUAUUGCAAAGGGUGAUUAUUCCUAUUACAAAAAUAUGGCAGAGAGGCUGUACAAUUGCCCAUGGAAGUAUAAUUCAGAGGCAGUUUGGGGAUAAGAGCUAUGAAUCCCAAUAAAAUAAAUAAGCAAUAUAGAUAUAUUGUACAGCACAGAGAAAUAUAGCCAUUAUUUUGUAGUAACUUGAAAUGGAGUAUAAUCUAUAAAAACAUUGAAUCAUUAUGUUGUACACCUGAAACUAAUUUAAUAUUGUAAAUCAACUUUACAUCAAUUUUAAAGAGCUUUGAAUCCCAGAUCCUUUCCAAUUUAUCUAAAAAGCAAUUUUCCAUAAAGAGAUCAGAUUCAAAAGAUUUCAAUUUAGUGAGUCCUUGUAAAAUUUUAUCCUCCUUAAGUUAGACUCUAUAAUUCAUGCUCAAGAUUUGUGAGAAAUUUCAUAAAUGUCUUUAAAUCACUAAGAAAAAGAAAAUGUAACAUGAAGUGACAUCAGUCCACACAGGUCUGGUAGUUCUUCCAUCCUGUCUGGAAAUAAGUCAUAGUCUUAGUUGGUGAAAAUGUCAUGUGGGAGGAGACAUACAGAUUACAGAACCAUGAGGUAAUUACUACAGCUUAACUGUCCUACAGAGAAGCUAUUAAGUGUUCAUAAACAGGGUUACAAUAGGAUACAUAUUCUAUGACAAGAUUUGGCCUGUAUUUUCAAUGCUUACAAUUCUUUCUUUGACUUAUUUAAGAGAAGAACUACUAGAAAUUCCAGAAAAGUAAGGAUUUGGCUUGUCUUAAGGACAGUGUUUCAUUAACUUUAGUAGGCAUGCAAAGGACCUGAGACACUUGUAAAAAUUCAGUGGCCAAACCCCCAGAAUUUUGAUUCCCUAGGUUUACAAUGGGAUCCUGGAAUCUGCAUUUUAUGGCAG